rnacentral:rRNA from 1 species
GAAACGGAAAUUAAUAUCUCAUAACACUGCGAGGUGGCAUCACCAUGCAGUUAAAACUUUGGUGGUAAAAGAUGGGCAUGCGUAAUAUUAGCUAGUUGGUAAGGUAACGGCUUACCAAGGCUACGAUAUUUAGGGGACCUGAGAGGGUGAUCCCCCACACUGGUACUGAGACACGGACCAGACUCCUACGGGAGGCAGCAGUGAGGAGUAUUGGUCAAUGGACGGAAGUCUGAACCAGCCAUCCCGCGUGCAGGAAGACGGCCCUAUGGGUUGUAAACUGCUUUUCUGAAGGAAGAAUAAGAUAUACGUGUAUAUCGAUGCCGGUACUUCAGGAAUAAGCAUCGGCUAACUCCGUGCCAGCAGCCGCGGUAAUACGGAGGAUGCAAGCGUUAUCCGGAUUUAUUGGGUUUAAAGGGUGCGUAGGCGGACCAGUAAGUCAGUGGUGAAACCUUUCGGCUCAACCGAGAACUGCCAUUGAUACUGUUGGUCUUGAGUUCGGUAGAGGUAGGCCGGAAUGUGUAAUGUA